rnacentral:rRNA from 1 species
GGGUUGUGAGGUUAAGCGACUAAGCGUACACGGUGGAUGCCCUGGCAGUCAGAGGCGAUGAAGGACGUGCUAAUCUGCGAAAAGCGUCGGUAAGGUGAUAUGAACCGUUAUAACCGGCGAUGUCCGAAUGGGGAAACCCAGUGCAAUUCGUUGCACUAUCGUUAACUGAAUACAUAGGUUAACGAGGCGAACCGGGGGAACUGAAACAUCUAAGUACCCCGAGGAAAAGAAAUCAACCGAGAUUCCCCCAGUAGCGGCGAGCGAACGGGGAGCAGCCCAGAGUCUGAAUCAGCUUGUGUGUUAGUGGAACGGUCUGGAAAGUCCGACGGUACAGGGUGAUAGUCCCGUACACCAAAAUGCACAGGCUGUGAACUCGAAGAGUAGGGCGGGACACGUGGUAUCCUGUCUGAAUAUGGGGGACCAUCCUCCAAGGCUAAAUACUCCUGACUGACCGAUAGUGAACCAGUACCGUGAGGGAAAGGCGAAAAGAACCCCGGCGAGGGGAGUGAAAAAGAACCUGAAACCGUGUACGUACAAGCAGUGGGAGCACCUUCGGGUGUGACUGCGUACCUUUUGUAUAAUGGGUCAGCGACUUAUAUUCUGUAGCAAGGUUAACCGUAUAGGGGAGCCGCAGGGAAACCGAGUCUUAACUGGGCGUUAAGUUGCAGGGUAUAGACCCGAAACCCGGUGAUCUAGCCAUGGGCAGGUUGAAGGUUGGGUAACACUAACUGGAGGACCGAACCGACUAAUGUUGAAAAAUUAGCGGAUGACUUGUGGCUGGGGGUGAAAGGCCAAUCAAACCGGGAGAUAGCUGGUUCUCCCCGAAAGCUAUUUAGGUAGCGCCUCGUGAAUUCAUCUUCGGGGUAGAGCACUGUUUCGGCUAGGGGGUCAUCCCGACUUACCAACCCGAUGCAAACUACGAAUACCGAAGAAUGUUAUCACGGGAGACACACGGCGGGUGCUAACGUCCGUCGUGAAGAGGGAAACAACCCAGACCGCCAGCUAAGGUCCCAAAGUCAUGGUUAAGUGGGAAACGAUGUGGGAAGGCACAGACAGCCAGGAUGUUGGCUUAGAAGCAGCCAUCAUUUAAAGAAAGCGUAAUAGCUCACUGGUCGAGUCGGCCUGCGCGGAAGAUGUAACGGGGCUAAACCAUGCACCGAAGCUGCGGCAGCGACACUAUGUGUUGUUGGGUAGGGGAGCGUUCUGUAAGCCUGCGAAGGUGACCUGUGAGGGUUGCUGGAGGUAUCAGAAGUGCGAAUGCUGACAUAAGUAACGAUAAAGCGGGUGAAAAGCCCGCUCGCCGGAAGACCAAGGGUUCCUGUCCAACGUUAAUCGGGUAGGGUGAGUCGACCCCUAAGGCGAGGCCGAAAGGCGUAGUCGAUGGGAAACAGGUUAAUAUUCCUGUACUUGGUGUUACUGCGAAGGGGGGACGGAGAAGGCUAUGUUAGCCGGGCGACGGUUGUCCCGGUUUAAGCAUGUAGGCUGAUUGUCCAGGCAAAUCCGGAUAAUCAAGGCUGAGGUGUGAUGACGAGGCACUACGGUGCUGAAGUAACAAAUGCCCUGCUUCCAGGAAAAGCCUCUAAGCAUCAGGUAACAUUAAAUCGUACCCCAAACCGACACAGGUGGUCAGGUAGAGAAUACCAAGGCGCUUGAGAGAACUCGGGUGAAGGAACUAGGCAAAAUGGUGCCGUAACUUCGGGAGAAGGCACGCUGGUGUGUAGGUGAAGUCCCUGCGGAUGGAGCUGAGACCAGUCGAAGAUACCAGCUGGCUGCAACUGUUUAUUAAAAACACAGCACUGUGCAAACACGAAAGUGGACGUAUACGGUGUGACGCCUGCCCGGUGCCGGAAGGUUAAUUGAUGGGGUUAUCCGUAAGGAGAAGCUCUUGAUCGAAGCCCCGGUAAACGGCGGCCGUAACUAUAACGGUCCUAAGGUAGCGAAAUUCCUUGUCGGGUAAGUUCCGACCUGCACGAAUGGCGUAAUGAUGGCCAGGCUGUCUCCACCCGAGACUCAGUGAAAUUGAACUCGCUGUGAAGAUGCAGUGUACCCGCGGCAAGACGGAAAGACCCCGUGAACCUUUACUAUAGCUUGACACUGAACAUUGAGCCUUGAUGUGUAGGAUAGGUGGGAGGCUUUGAAGCGUGGACGCCAGUCUGCGUGGAGCCAACCUUGAAAUACCACCCUUUAAUGUUUGAUGUUCUAACGUUGGCCCCUUACCGGGGUUGCGGACAGUGUCUGGUGGGUAGUUUGACUGGGGCGGUCUCCUCCCAAAGCGUAACGGAGGAGCACGAAGGUUAGCUAAUCCUGGUCGGACAUCAGGAGGUUAGUGCAAUGGCAUAAGCUAGCUUGACUGCGAGCGUGACGGCGCGAGCAGGUGCGAAAGCAGGUCAUAGUGAUCCGGUGGUUCUGAAUGGAAGGGCCAUCGCUCAACGGAUAAAAGGUACUCCGGGGAUAACAGGCUGAUACCGCCCAAGAGUUCAUAUCGACGGCGGUGUUUGGCACCUCGAUGUCGGCUCAUCACAUCCUGGGGCUGAAGUAGGUCCCAAGGGUAUGGCUGUUCGCCAUUUAAAGUGGUACGCGAGCUGGGUUUAGAACGUCGUGAGACAGUUCGGUCCCUAUCUGCCGUGGGCGCUGGAGAAUUGAGGGGGGCUGCUCCUAGUACGAGAGGACCGGAGUGGACGCAUCACUGGUGUUCGGGUUGUCAUGCCAAUGGCACUGCCCGGUAGCUAAAUGCGGAAGAGAUAAGUGCUGAAAGCAUCUAAGCACGAAACUUGCCCCGAGAUGAGUUCUCCCUGAGACUUUAAGUCUCCUGAAGGAACGUUAAAGACGAUGACGUUGAUAGGCCGGGUGUGUAAGCGCAGCGAUGCGUUGAGCUAACCGGUACUAAUGAACCGUGAGGCUUAACCUUACAACGCCGAAG